CUGCAAAGGAAACCUAAAAACUCAGAAAAAGUGGUUAAUGGGAAGGAGCAGAAGAAGAGUAAUAUAGAUUUCCUACUGGAGUGAAAAACCAUCCUGGAACAAUAUUCUGUAACAAUGAACUUUACAAUGACAUUUGGUGGCAUAUGAAUUUGAAUUCGGAAGAAACACAUCAAUUAACGAAAGAAACCUUGAUGCAAUUAAUAAAUAAUAACAAGACCGGCCUACUAAGGUCAGAUGCCCUGCAAAGAGAAUGGAAUAUAAAAAGACCAGCAAAAUCUUUGGGACACUUGUACUAAAGCACGAUUUGCAGCUUUUCUUAAAC